CAGUUUAGUCUAUUGAAUAUCUGGGUGCAGGCAUGUUCCCCAUUGCAUGGAAUAUUAAUCCAUAAUGAGUGAACAUCCAAUCCAUGGUAUAUUUUACCUAAUUUUUGUGGGAUCAGGGCUUUGUUAGCCAUCAGAAUUAAAGAUAGUUUACAAAGUUCAUGUGCACUUAAAGAUAGAGAAAUCAGGCCCUCACCCUAGCAGUAUACUUCCUUCUAUCUUGGGUCAUAUCUGGCUGUGGGGUAGAAAUCUUGUAAUGGAGAGGAUUGAUUAUAAAAGAUUUGAAAUACUCUAGGCACUUACAUUCUCUUAGAGAUCGUUCUGAUUGGAAUUCAUCUCCUAUUAUCCCUUUUGCGAAUUCAUCAUCCGAAUUUCUUUCUAGCAUAACUUUUCUUUUCCUUUUUUCCUGCCCAGGCCCUAGUAAUGUUAAUGGUUGCUAAGUCAUGUUAACCUUUUUAUGUUUAUGUUGACUUUAUGGUCUGUUACAGUGGCUAUUAACAGCAUUAUCUUGGUUAAUUCAAAACAUGUUUGUCAUAAUUUACAGUAGCUUACUAGAUCCCGACGGGUUUAUAUUGAAAUACACAUUUUCAAUUAAAAAAGGAGUAUGUGAAAAUUCAAGAAAAUCACCAGGGAAAGUCUUGAUUAAUUAUCAAUUUCAAUCAUGCAGCAAGAAUUAUCUGUUCACAUUUCUUCAUUAUAAUAGAUGUGACAAUUGACACCAUUAUUGUAACUUUAUUUAUACAUACAAACAUACAUACAUAUAUAUAUAUAUAUUUCAAAUGCACUGUGCAGUCCAUUCUCCAUUGAAUUCAAAGUUGCUAUAGUCAUCAGCUUUCAGUCUGAGUUGUCCAAAUUACAUCCCAAAUCUGAUCCGAGAACUCCAAGACUAUGGAUAGCGAUGGAAACUCUUCCACUUGAACUUGUUCGAACAAGGUGAGGUCCACAAAUUUAUGAAUAUCACUCUGAGAAACAAGUAUAGUUGGAAAUGAAAUAGAAAAGUGAAGAAAGAAACUUAUGUUUAUUUAUGCAUCAUAUUGAUAAUUUGUGCUUGAUUAUAUGCUAGUGGCUUUCAAAUUGUAAUUCGCAAAUGUUGGAAACUUCAAUCGCUUUGAUUAAAUGUAGGGUAGGAAGAUUGUUUUGUCAUUGGUUGAAAUUGCCCCUCUCUGUAGAAUUGUAUACUAAACACAAUUUUAUAAAUAAAAAUGCAACUUUUUUGAAGGUA